AAUGUGGUGUAUCAUGUUGAUUGAUUUGCAGAUGUUGAACCAUCCCAGGAUCCCUGGAAUAAAUCCCACUUGAUCGUGGUGUAUGAUCUUUUUAAGGCCUGAGGAAACUGACGCAGAAGUGAAGUCCCACAACUCAUACCUUUGAGACCAGCACCUGACCCCAGACAGGCUUUCUCUUACCGGUGCAGUUUGCCUGGAGGAGAAAUCAAUGAAUGAUGAUCUGAAGCAGGAAGAUGCUGGAGAUGUGUGGAGAUGCUGAGAAUCAGCUGGCUCUAGAACUCUCUCAGCAUGAAGUCUUCAUUGAGAAAGAGCUUGUGGACCCUCCGUAUGGCAUAGCAGGUGGAGAUUCCCAACAUCCAAAAACAGAGGAGACAGCUCGCUAAAUAGGUGUUAGACUGGGAUUCGGUCAGAGUUAGGUAAGGUAAAGCUGUAAAAAUGACCAGUAAUGCACUAUAAUGUCACA